AUUGGAGACGAACACCGAAGAUAAUAAUGAAGAUACAACGGAAGAUAACGAAGAACCUUAUACGUCGAUGCCUCUGGAGAAGCUUUCUUCACCUUCAAGCGAUAUUCAGGCCAUAUUACAUCUCAUUCCACAAUAUGCACAGAGUUUUUAUAACAAUCUUAUUAGUGAUGAUGCAAUAGAAGACCACAUAGAUGGACUAGACAAGGUGGAUUUCGAAAUCCAAUUUGAUGAUAACGUCGAAUAAACGUCCUCUAUAUGUAUUAUUUUAUAUAUCUUUUUAAUAAAAGCUUUAUUACGAUAUUAUAAA